CUAGGGAGGCAGCAGUGGGGAAUAUUGGGCAAUGGGCGCAAGCCUGACCCAGCAACGCCGCGUGAAGGAAGAAGGCUUUCGGGUUGUAAACUUCUUUUCUGGGGGACGAACAAAUGACGGUACCCCAGGAAUAAGCCACGGCUAACUACGUGCCAGCAGCCGCGGUAAUACGUAGGUGGCAAGCGUUAUCCGGAUUUAUUGGGUGUAAAGGGCGUGUAGGCGGGAAUGCAAGUCAGAUGUGAAAACUCAGGGCUCAACCCUGAGCCUGCAUUUGAAACUGUGUUUAUUGAGUGCUGGAGAGGCAAGCGGAAUUCCGUGUGUAGCGGUGGAAUGCGUAGAUAUACGGAGGAACACCAGUGGCGAAGGCGGAUUGCUGGACAGUAACUGACGCUGAGGCGCGAAAGCGUGGGGAGCAAACAGGAUUAGAUACCCCUGUAGUC
rnacentral:rRNA from 1 species